rnacentral:lncRNA from 1 species
UACUGCGAUGGCUCUUGGUUGACCAAUCUCCUUCCACUAUUCCUGACAGCUAACCAAUCACAGUAGGCUUAACAUGCUCUGUUGGCUUUACAUUUACGGGGCUGCUUCAGGAAUGUAAACUAUUCAACACAGGCAGACAUGGACUUAACAGUUGAUAAACUGGAACAAAUGUUCCAGAGUGCGGAGGUGACCUUAGACUGCAUCUUCAGGCGCAUGAGAUGGGAGAUGCAGCAGGAGUCAGAGGAGGACGGCGCUUUCCCGCUGGACCCCCUGCUGCCCUUCGAGGAGUUAGAGUAUUUCCAGAAGCGUCUGACGGCGCUGCUCACGGAGACCCGAGAGAUCCGGGCGCAGAAGCAGCGGACGAUGGCGUCCAUCGAGGAGAAGCUGAGCAGGACCGCUCAACUGGCCAGAGAGCUCCAGAGCAAGGCGGCAGUGACCGGUGUCGCCGCCCUGCUGCCCACACCUGAGGAGGACGUGGGAGGUAAGACUGCACCGGGCGGGCUUCACUCUAAUGUCUGUUUGUAUCUCCGUUUACUGGGCUGUGUGUGUGUGUGUGUGUGUGUGUGUUGCACCAGGGGAUGGCAGUGAGCAGGGUGUGUGUGUGUGUGUGUGUGUGUAUUGCACCAGGUGAUGGCAGGUAGGAGGUGUGUUUGUACAUUCAUGUCAUGAAGUGCCCCACGCCCUCUAGUUGCCCCAGCUACUGCCGGUCCUUCAUGCAGACCAGAGGCUGGACUUGCCCCCGCUCAGAACCAGAAGCAGACCUCUGCCCAGUCUAGGACCCGCCCUGCUGACACUGGAGCCCAGGCCAAAGGAGGAGGAGCGCCCCCUAGAGCACGGGGCAGAAGAGCAUCGAGCCCUCCCCGCCAAACUGCACGUAAGGCUCACACAGAUUGUGUGUGUGUGUGUGUGUGUGUGUGACACCUCUGACCUCCAUCAGUAACCUCCCUUCCUCUCUCCCCCUCAGGUGGUCCUCUGCGGGUGCGCAGGCCGCCCCUAUGAAUGUCUCUCAGCCCCCCCCUAUCCUUCAGCCCCCGCAGCAGCAUUCCCUCCAGCCUCCCUGCCCUACUCACACUGCCAUCUGGUGGCCAAAGUGGGGAAAAUCCCCUCCAGCAUUCCUGCCUUAUACACACUGCCUUCUGGUGGCCAAAGUGGGGAAAAUCCCCUCCAGCAUUCCUGCCUUUUACACUGCCAUCUGGUGGCCAAAGUGGGGAAAAUCCCCUCCAGCAUUCCUGCCUUAUACACACUGCCAUCUGGUGGCCAAAGUGAGUAAUGCGUGCUGGUGAGUGCAUCUCGCUAUGGUGCCCCUGUACGAGUGGACAAAAUGUCUGGGGUCUCAUUGCUGGAAUCACGGGACAAUUUGGGCUUCAUGUGUCAAACAACGGGCUUGAGUAAAGACCUGGGUUGGAGAACUUUGGGCAGGGAAAAUGGCUUAUUUUGUUAUAUAUUUUUUCAUAGUAAAUAAAAUUCUAAUAAAACUCUGUUCUGUUCGGUGC